ACGAGUGGCGGACGGGUGAGUAAUGCGUAGGAAUCUACCUAGUUGAGUGGGAUAGCCUAGGGAAACUUAGGGUAAUACCGCAUAAGUCUUACGGGAGAAAGCAGGGGACUGUUAAAGGCCUUGCGCGAUUAGAUGAGCCUACGUCGGAUUAGCUUGUUGGUGGGGUAAAGGCCUACCAAGGCGAUGAUCCGUAGCUGGUCUGAGAGGACGACCGGCCACACUGGACUGAGACACGGCCAG
rnacentral:rRNA from 1 species